rnacentral:rRNA from 1 species
CCUACGGGAGGCAGCAGUGGGGAAUAUUGCACAAUGGGCGAAAGCCUGAUGCAGCGACGCCGCGUGAGGGAUGACGGCCUUCGGGUUGUAAACCUCUUUCAGCAGGGAAGAAGCGAAAGUGACGGUACCUGCAGAAGAAGCGCCGGCUAACUACGUGCCAGCAGCCGCGGUAAUACGUAGGGCGCAAGCGUUGUCCGGAAUUAUUGGGCGUAAAGAGCUCGUAGGCGGCUUGUCACGUCGGGUGUGAAAGCCCGGGGCUUAACCCCGGGUCUGCAUUCGAUACGGGCUAGCUAGAGUGUGGUAGGGGAGAUCGGAAUUCCUGGUGUAGCGGUGAAAUGCGCAGAUAUCAGGAGGAACACCGGUGGCGAAGGCGGAUCUCUGGGCCAUUACUGACGCUGAGGAGCGAAAGCGUGGGGAGCGAACAGGAUUAGAUACCCUGGUAGUCCACGCCGUAAACGGUGGGAACUAGGUGUUGGCGACAUUCCACGUCGUCGGUGCCGCAGCUAACGCAUUAAGUUCCCCGCCUGGGGAGUACGGCCGCAAGGCUAAAACUCAAAGUAUAAUGACGNGNGAGAGCGACGACGACGACGACGAGGAGGAG